UGGGGAAUUUUGGACAAUGGGCGAAAGCCUGAUCCAGCAAUGCCGCGUGUGUGAAGAAGGCCUUCGGGUUGUAAAGCACUUUUGUCCGGAAAGAAAUCCUUGGCUCUAAUACAGUCGGGGGAUGACGGUACCGGAAGAAUAAGCACCGGCUAACUACGUGCCAGCAGCCGCGGUAAUACGUAGGGUGCAAGCGUUAAUCGGAAUUACUGGGCGUAAAGCGUGCGCAGGCGGUUUGCUAAGACCGAUGUGAAAUCCCCGGGCUCAACCUGGGAACUGCAUUGGUGACUGGUAGGCUAGAGUAUGGCAGAGGGGGGUAGAAUUCCACGUGUAGCAGUGAAAUGCGUAGAGAUGUGGAGGAAUACCGAUGGCGAAGGCAGCCCCCUGGGCCAAUACUGACGCUCAUGCACGAAAGCGUGGGGAGCAAACAGGAUUAGAUACCCUGGUAGUCCACGCCCUAAACGAUGUCAACUAGUUGUUGGGGAUUCAUUUCCUUAGUAACGUAGCUAACGCGUGAAGUUGACCGCCUGGGGAGUACGGUCGCAAGAUUAAAACUUAAAUGAAUUGACGGGGUCAUAGCUGUUUCCU
rnacentral:rRNA from 1 species